UAACACAUAUGUUUAUUUGAAAUAAAAUCUAGUGCAUAAAGGCAAAUACUUCGCUUAUCUAUGGUAGGAGCACCCUGUGAUAAUCUGAUCUAAAGUCAGUAGCAAUGAGCAGGCUUGUCCCUUUGAUCCAAAGUCUUGGUCAAAUAUAAUUAUAAUUCCAUCUAUGGAAAUAUUCACACAAUAUAGUUUGAAUAUGUAACGAACAAAUACUUUAUAAUGAUUAUUAAUGUAGAAAGAAUUACACGUAUUUAUGUUGCCUAUUAGCAACACAGAUUCAGUUGGAAGUUGAAUAAGAUUUGAGAAGAAACAUGGGCUCAUGGUGAGCUUCUCAGGUAUCAAAACACAAAUAAAGGGGAAGUAGUACAUACAUCCCAUUAUAGAGAGGUAUGUCUAUGAUUUAUUUUUGACACUUUAGUGCUUUGUCUUAUGCAGAAAGAUGACACAUGUUUGACAAACUUGUCUUGCCUUUCCUAGGGCCAGAGUAAUCGGAAAAUACACAAGUUUGAAGGUAUUUAAAGUGAGAGAUGUACGUGUUGUAAAAAUGUAAGUACUGCUGUAGUGUGCUAACAAAACUGCAGAAUUUGUGCUCCUGCAAAAGUAGUAUGAAGCUACAUCAGAUCUUGUGUCCUGUUAUUCCCUCACAUGCAGGUAUAAUAGCAUCCAUAUUAAAUCUCUUCACGUAUGUAUUCGCAGUUAAUUUUUAUCCUUGCAUAUCUGUGUUUGCUGGGCUAUUGGAAGAAAAGUCUGAGAGACUACUGCCAUUUCAUCACUUCUGGAUGAAAUGUUUUAGAAAAUGGGGACUCCUCUCUCUCUACCUUUCUCAUUUAUAAAACUUUGAGGUGACCCUAGACCAAAGUACACAAUUUCAGGAUCUGUGUUCUUUUUGCUCCUGGAUUAAAAAAUUACAGCAGGGCCAAAGACAUGCGGACUUGAAGUACAGGAAAAUGGGAUUUGUACAUUUUGGGGAAUGAGAGCUCUCUAUUCCUGUUUUUUGAAAGUGAAGGAGAGACUAAACAUUUUUAUGUUUUCUAUUGUAGUUCUCUGGUAUUACAUUUUUAAAUGUAUUGUGGAAUUUCAGACCUGAACAUUAUAUGGUCGUUCUGUAGUUUAUUUUUAGGGUUUUUUUCAAGCUUAAUAAUAAAUAAGUAUAUAUAUAAAACCCAAAGGCUAACCCAGAUGCUGUAGUGAUGCAUAUACAAAGACUGAAGGUUAAAGUGAGCUUGAAGAAAUCAUGAAAAAUGGGAAAGCAUCAUAUAUGCAGUUGGUGAGGGCUGCAGGGAAAAGAUAAUGUCAGGAAAAAGCAAAAUGAGUUAGUGCUAACUGAAGAGUGUAGGAGAGAAAAAGAACUCCAAAAGUCUUUAUCAGAGGAAACCAAAGUGCCAGAGUGAAACUUCUCCUAUUAGCAAAUGAAAAGGAAAAUGAAGAUUGGAAGAAAUUGAUUCAUUAACACUGAAGUGUUAAUAUUUAAUUUUCCAUAUUAUUUUUUCCUUCUGUUAAAGCAAACUAAAAGGUCGUUGUGAAAUAUUUUUAAUGGAGUUUCUAUCAAAAGUGAAAAAGCAUGCCUAAAAAAAAUGAAAUAGAUGGAAGAUAUCAGUUCUAGAUUAUAUCACGUUUAAUCUUAAGCUUGUCAAUGUAGGAGGAUGCAAUGUCUUUAACUAGGCCCGCUGAUGCAGUUGAAGCUGAGACUGAUGACCGUAUCAGCUCUUUCAGUCAAUUUAUCUCACUUACAUCCCUAGAACAUAACAGCUACACCAACAUGACAACUUGCAUUUUCAUUUGAAAUGUGAACUUGGAAAAGUCCGGCUUCCAAUAUUUGAGAAAAACUUGACAGUUUUUCUCCAAUUUAAAAUGUACUAAGGCAAGUUGAAAAAUGAAACUAGGCUGGAGCAAAUAUUUUUUAAGGGGUUGUAGAUAAUGCUGGUUUUAAUAUGAGUUGAAACAACAGUAUAAAAAGCAUAUACAAUAUUCGAUACAAUAGGAUUAGGUUCCCAUGAAGGCUUGGAGUGGGUACCACGGCUAGGCUUGGAGCAACCAAUACCUCAUUUCUAGUCAGUCCUCUACAGGAGUGUGUGAAUCUCCUGCUGCCACUGCUAGCAAAUGAACAUGUCCUUCAGCUCAACCUGUGCUCUUGCUGCAGCAGUAGGUACAAAAAGGGUGGCAACUCUACCUGUUCUCCCUCUGGUAUUUUUAUGCAUGCUAAGAUCUUGCUGGGUACGUGAGUCUUGAGACAAAGUUAACUGUUAGUAAGCAGGCUGUGUUUUUUGUACUUAUACAUCCUGUUAAGCAAAGAGUUGUAAAGGAUGACUCAUCCCAGCUACACUUGACUGUAUUUGAAAGGUUUCUAAGUGUGUACAGCAGAAGAGAUUUUGUCAGGAACUCAAUACAACACUUGAAACUGUUGGUGAAGUGAGUGUUGUGUGGAAUCAUUAAAGGGCUAUAAUACAAAGUAAUUAUGUCAGCAAGUUUACUGCUGGGUAUAAAAGAAAGUCCUGUAUUGUUUUGUAUCUUUGUUGUUCAGAAGUAGAAGAAGAACAGGAAGUUUUUCAUUAAAACUAUGAUGAAGAUAGAAGCCAAUUCUUUCUCCAUUAAUGUAUGUAUGUAGCUGUUGGUCAAUACUGUUUUGCUGAUGCAAUAUUUUGGGUAGGGAAUUGAGCAUUUAAAAAAAAAAAGAAGAUCUUCUUUAGGGAAAUUCUAACUUCCUAUUGAACAGCUGUAUGCUAGAAAAGCAGAAAUAAAAAUUAACUGAAUGCCUGAAUUCAUAAAUAUUACCUUUGUAUCCCACUAGUACAGCUGUGAUGUUUCUGCACUAUUUUGGCCUUUUUUUCCUCAGCUGAGCUUUAUUAUGGUUUGUAUAUUUCUUAUGUACUGAAAAUGGGUUUUGAAUGGGAAGUAGUUUUUUAUUAGUUCCAGCAUCUGUAUGCAUCAAAGGGGAGAAAGUUCUUUCAAAGAGCAAAGGAGCAAAGUCGUCCUCUCUGCUUUAACAGGGAUCAGGGUGUACAUGGAGUGACUGGUGCCAAACUGGCUCUUGCCCUGACAGUGCACUGCGAUACAGCAGGGGCAGGUCUCCAAACCUGAGAAUUAAGAAGUUAUCCUGGCCAAAAUUAAAUGGCAGGGAGACCUGAUCUGAGGAGGACUGGCUGGAAAGACAGAGAUUCCCAAUCUGUGAAUGUACAGCCAAUGCUUGACUGUUUUUUUGCAAAGACUGCUUUUGCUCCAAAGGAAUUGUGAGAAUCAUGGCCAGAGGUCUGACAGCUCCAGCACAUCUUUUAACAUGGGGGGUGAGUUUUGCAAACCUUGAUUUUGCCAGCCUAAGGCAUUAUGAAUUCAUAAUCCUGACUGUGCCACUUAAAAAUGUCUGAAGGAACUAGGACUUUAAGGAAUAUAACCUGAAAUCUGUGAUAUAUUUUCUGACAUCCUAAGACUCAGGGUAAAUAAAGCCUGUGCUUUUGGUAGGCUGGCUUGAUGGUAUUGUCUGGCACUAAUGAGCUAAUCUGUAUCACUAAAUUAAAACUGCGGGUAUGUUGAUGGUAUCUUCUGUGUAUAGAUAUUUAAGACAGAAAAGUGCAGGAAGAAAUUUCAUUAACAUAAAUGACAACAGCACAUGAAAAAUUAGGGCCUGCUGUCUAGGUAAAGACAGUACUGUGGAGAAAUAUCUUUUUCAAAUCUGUCUGUAUAGGAUUAAAGUUUAAAAACCUCUCAUAAUUACCUUCAAUGUAAAUUUGUUUUUCAUAUCAGCAUCUUAUUUUAAAAUAUACAGGCAUGCAUAAGAAAUAAAUCCAAGUAAAGUAUGCAAAAUAUGUAUUAUUAGGCCUCGUUAGUGCUUGAUGCGUAUUCAAAGUACAGAAGAUGCCAUCAUCCUGUUUCCAAACUCCUGGGGGAGUUCAGGCAGGAAAGAGAGGUGUAGUGCACAGAAUAGUAUGUGAAAGAGCUAGCAUCUCCUAGGCCACUGCCAUGAACCAUCAUUUACACUUCAAACCUGAGAGCUUAAAGCCUUAUCAAGCAAGAAAAGCUAUGUUUCACACUUCUUUAUCACAAAUGUAAAAUUUGCACAAACUGCAAGGCAGACAAAAAGGAUCAGUUUGCACCACUUGUUCCUGUGUAGUCCAUAUUAAACAUUCCAGUUCUGGUAUGGAAAUAGUAUAUAACCACUCUGCAUUAUAGAUGAUUACUCAGGCUGACAAGCAGUGGGAAACUGGCCACAGGAGAUUUUCCUUUGUUCAAAGUCCAACACCGGUAUCUCUUCCCAAUGCUAAUUCUCAGCUUCAGCCUUAAGCCUUGUCAUCAAGCACAUACGCAACCAACAUAUUUCUUGGCUGACAAAUUCAUCUGUGUCUGUUUGAGGGUAAAAUGAUAGGAACCAGCAAAAGAUGAGAUUUAAUGCUAUAGUAGCUUGUAUGCUGAUAUGAAAAAGUUACUUGUUUUGCAGAUUUCAGUUUUUCCAUUCUAGCCCUGUCAUUAUUACUGUUUUGAAAAUUCUUGUAAUUAUUAGAAAGGUUACUACUCAACUAACAGUGUGCUAUUUUUUGGUUUUUAGAUUCUGCUAGCUGAUUAUUCAUCCAAUGUCAAGAAAGUGUGACCUGGAAGGAGUAGCCUAAACUUAGCCCAGGUAUAGAUAGAUAGAUAGAUAGAUAGAUAGAUAGAUAGAUAGAUAGAUAGAUAGAUAGAUAGAUUUCAAGGUUGGGUGGGGGAAUAUAAACCUUGAACAGAAUACUCCUCAGUCCACUAUGGAACAAAUGCUGUGUGCAAAUAGGCCCCCAAAAUCAUAAAGUCCUCAUUGACUUGAAAACAUAAGACAGAAUAAGGGUCUUAAAUUCCAAUUGUAUUUGCACUGAGCAUCACCAGAUGAACUAAUAUAUUAAACUAAAAGGAUACAUAGUUGAACUCAAUAAAGCUUCAAAAAUAGAUGUGAGUUUUAUUCAUCUGCACAUAUUUUAUCUUUCGUGUUGCUAUUUUCAAGAUGGAACAAAGUCGUGCAACAUAAAAUUAAUUAUCCCCUUUAUGCUUAGAGGCAUUAGCACUCCUAAAGAUGUCUAUCUGAAUAGAAAUAUAGCAACUUACCAAGGCACCACUGUGUCUUUGAUCUACCUAUUUAUCUAUCUAAUAAGCUACAAAAUCAUUCACUAAAAUCAACAUUAUAAAAUAUUAAGAUAUCUUUAAUAUACUUAUUAUGUUAUACAUUUUUUUUCAGACUGUUCUUAUUCCUACUUAAUAUUUUCUUGAAGGCUGAAAGGACAAGAGAAAACAUACUGUAAAUCUGUUGGCUCUUACUUGAUAGAUUCUAAAAAACUACUGAUCUUUUGAUCUUGAAACAACAUAACCUAAAAGCUUUUUCUUUUUGGCUGGAAUCCCAGACUCCAAAUGUCAUUCAAAGGAUACAUUUUCAUUAUAUACUGUUUGAUACUCUACGUGCUUGUAUAAAUUUGGAUGUGUGUUUGUUUGUUUGUUUGUUUUUUUGUUAUACAUUAGUGCUUCCCAUGAGCUUAAUCAUGUUCAACUUUGACCAUUUCAUUUGGGGUAUACAAAUUUCAAAAGGUAAAACAGAUUAAAAAGUCUUUAGGCAUAAAAAUAGCAGAACUUGUAGAAGCAGAAAUUUUAAGUGGAGCAAAAGUAAUCUUUCUCCAUUGCUAGAUGAAACCAAAGAACUUUAAACAAAGUGGUACCAUACUGUAAUGAAGAAGAGAGAUGGGUACUUGAGACAGAGACAGCAAGAAUUGUUAGGAAUCAGUAUUAGAAAAACCUCUUACUCAAGUUUACUUGAGUAGAACUGCCUAACCAACACAUGGAUUUUCAUUUUGUUUUCUCUUCGUGGCUUAUUAUCAGCAUUUAAUUCUCUGUUUUUAAAAAUGUGGCUUACAGUUGAAGGCAAAUUCCUUUGGCAACAGUGAAAUGCACACUGUGGAUAAAUAGUGAAUAUACAUAGAGUAUGAAAUUGAUUUACUGUAAAUUGUUUUAAUAUUACUGCAUAAAACAGCCUUGCAAAAUUGUCAAGAAAAUUUACUGGCACAGAUGCAAAUGUCUAUUUGUCUGCCUCGUUUUCCACAGUAAUCAAUCAUCAUGGAGAAUUAAUAAUUUUUAAUCCUUGCAUUGCAAAAUAUUAAUCAUUUCCGGUAGUUACAUGAGCAAAAAUUUGCCAUACUGCCAUAUUUUAAAUACGUAUUUUUGUAUGCUUGUCUUUUGUAAAUAAAUUAUAUGUUGUAGCUCUGUAGCUUGCUCAUGUGUUGGGGGUAUAAUCAACAUUGUAAUUGAAAUAGAGUGCAUGAAGAUUACAUAAAAAUGACAAUUGUAAAUUGCAUAAUUUUCUGUUUUGUUUAUUUUUUAAUUUUAGGAAUGUUACAGGCAUGAAUAAGUAAUGUUAGCUACAUGAUAGGCCUAAUCUGUAGAUUUUAGAUCAUAGAGAAAUCUCUUUAGAGCUUCAAUAACAGAUUUGUAGUGUUUUCCUCAUAAAUCAAAAUUAUCAUAUUUAACCUCCAGGUUAUGUCAUAUCAAUGGUGCAAUGCUAAUGAUUCACUACACCUCUCUGUAUAUAUUCUUACUUAGGAAGUAUGGGACUAAUAGAUAGGUCUGGAGGUAUUUCGUAGACAAGAAGAUUGAUGAUUAUUUUGGUGGUCUAACAAUAUACCUGGAGUGCACAGCAUCAAACAAUGCAAUAAAUAUGUCAUAUUUCAACAACCAUAGUGAGUUGACUCUGAGAAGGCUGAAAUACCUCUAUAGCUCAGCAUAUUACUUCGGGUCCUAGGAACAGUCCAUGUCUUUUGAUACAUCUAACCCAUCCCUGGGAUUCUUCUGUUUCCAUUGCAGGUUUGAAUUAUAACUUCCAUGCAAACUAUAUAUUUAGGUAUUUAAAGGAAAUGAUCCAAGACCAUUGCUGGAAUUUUUGAAAGGAAACCAUAUCUAGAGAUUUCUUAAGAUACUGCAAAAGCCUAAAAUUAAUUUGAAUUGAGAAAAGGAACCUAUGUUUUUAAUUAUUUGGAUACUGGCUUCAUGAUUUGAGCUGGGUGUAGAAGCUGUGGGGUUUUAUGGAAGAUCUUGGUUUCAGUACCAAGUUUAGCACAAUUUAAAAUGGAGCAAAUUUCUGGUUACGAAGCCAAGUCCUUCAUCAUGAACUUCUGUGCCCCUGAAUGGUUCAACUCUGUGGUGUUCUGAACCUGGGCUGGCAUGUGACAGGUAAAACUGAUAAAUUACAAGCUGUCCUAAAAUUUCAUGACUCUUUUUUUGCAUGGCAAAGAACCAGAAGCCUAGAAAAUUAGGUCUCUUUUCAUAUGCUCUAUGUCUAUGGUUUUUAAUGAUGGUAUUAGCUUUGACGAAACCAAGCAGGUUCCAGCAUGAGCCACUGUUCCACUUGAACUCUCCUUGGAUCUUGAAUAACUUUCCCAAAAUAAAACUGGGUUCAUUCAAGUCUGUCGCUACAUAGAAAAAAAGGCAAUUUCUAUGAAAAAAAUAAUCCACAUUUUUCUCAGCUAGAUGUAAUAACUAUCUAUAUGCUAUCAAACAGCUACUUUGGCACUGGUUGAAUGAAGGUAAUCAGUUUCAACCACAUUAUUAAAAGCAUUUUGUAUUUCCUCAAAAUUAACAAGAAAAAUCUGUUUUGAUGCCAAACAAAAUUGUUUUAUGAUUUUGUCAUUUGAUUGUGUAGAGCUGGUUGGGAUUCUGGAGAUGGAAUCUGUUGCAGGAAGAUCACUGUUGAUGGGACAUUAAGGUGAGUGAGGAACUUCAGUUUUAGAAGAGAGAAGACUGACAGUAAAAAAACUGAGCUGUAAGUGAGAGAGGGGCAAGAUUCAACAAAUACCUGUAGGUGCCAGAGUUUAUGAGAAGGUUUGAAGUUGUUUGAAUUACUAAUGAAAAUCAAAUUAGGCUAAGUAACAUGCUAUAUAAGUAAACAAACUAGCUUUACUGAUAAAGAGGAGGGAAAAGAAAUGCUACAAAACCAACUACUUAUUUGCAUAAACAGAAACAUUUUUUGUUGCAGAGUAAAAGUCAAUAACUAAGGAGAUAAAGAAGGCAACUACAUGAAUGUUUAUGACAGCAAUUGCAUCUGCCAAACAGUGGAAUAUUUUUCCACAUUCAGGUGAGUGAUGCCAGAAUUGAAGAUUAACUUUAGAUCUGCGAUAUAUUUUAUAAUUUUCUUUUUGGCAUCACUGAUUUAAAUAUAAAGAUUGAGCUAUGCAAAAGGGGGAAGCAGAUAAACUGUCAUUAGCAUCAUUCUAGUAACACCAACUGCAAUGAAUACCAAACACGUUUAUACUUAGCAAGGGAAAGUAAAUGUAGCUGUACCAAGAUUUGAAUGUCUAUUAACAGCUUGUCCAGUGACUGAGAUUAGACUAGUCUCACAGCAGUUGAUAUGUUUUACUCACAAAGUGUUCUGCUUAACAUUAAGUUAAUCACUGUUUCUGAAAAAAAGAAAAUAAUAAAUAUCUACAAUAAAUCAGACUGAUCUAUAGUAUACGAGGUCCAUACCUGAUCAUAGAUAGAAUUUAUUAUUUCCUCUCUCUAACAUCAACACACAAGAUGAACUUUCAACAGUUCUGGCAUUUAAAAUGAAAUUUAGAGUUUGCUUUUGUCUUAGGUUUCUCAGUGUGGUAUUUUAAUAUAAAUCUGUAAUUUGUCUGCAUUUUUUGUAGGAAAACAGCUGCCAAAUAGUCUUUUGCUGCUGUAGAAAUCAUUUAAAUCCAUGCUAUAAAAGAUUUAACCUCUUCUGAAUUUCCCACAAAAGAAAAAAAAGGGUAUAUUUUCCACACUUUUCAACCAGUGUAGAUCACCCACAUAUUUUCCAUUACGAAGCAAUGUACAGUAACUAAGAUAAUUUCAGCCACACUAGUACCAUCUUGUGUUCCAUUGUGAAGUUAUUUGGAUUAAUUUAUUUUAGUCUUUAGUCACUACUUGGGGCAUCGUCUUUAAAAAUCAGUGGUAACAAACAAAACAUUUUUACAUGGACAGUGUGCACCAGAAAGGCUGUUUUGAGCUUCAGUGGUUGGGAUUUGGGAUAAUCUCUCUCUGUCCUACUGCUACAACCUAAGUGUAGCUGCAGGACAGUGUCACUGUCCAUUCACUUAUGAUCAGUCAUGUUAACUCAGAGUGCAGCAUGCCCUGGUUUUUAUCCCAGUUUUCCAAGCGUGAGUCACUUUGAACUAGAAAUAGAUGAGUGCCACUGAUUAGGAGCCACGUUGAGUAGUGCCAGACUGUCUAUGAAAUUCUUGCAGGUCCAGACCCAACUAAAUUCUGAGGCCAAGACAUGCAGAAAUAGAGCCUUCAGAAAAACCGCAAAAGCAUAUGCUUAAGUGCAACUGAUUUCUUCAUUAUUAUAAUUAAGUAUUUGCUUAACAUACUUCCCUCAAUAUCGUCUUUGGGUUGCACUGAGACAGAAAGACACUGAGGGUGUUAAUUACCUUGUAUGAUUUUGCCAGUCGUUUAGCAAUUAUGGUGUUGGAGAAUUUAUGGGGAUUUUUUCACAGGAAAGCAAAAAAAAAAUCCUUCCUGGAUGUUUAUUCAUCUGCAAUAGUAUCAGAUGCAACCUGAGUAUUUCAGGGGAAGUGGCAGAAUGGCUAUUGACUUCUCUGAUUCAGAGACUGAAUUUCUAUAUCUGAUGAAAAAAGACACAGCUUUGAUGGCAAUCAGCUUUGACAGUGGAAUCGGAGGUGAGAUACAGUCACAGUGAUAAAGAAAUGCAAGUAACUUUCAAAGUUUUCUCAGGUAUCAGUCAGCACAUGUUAAUUUAUUAAGAAUCUGUUCUAAUAUGUCCUAAAUCCUGAUUUUCCACUGAUCAGAUGCAGUGGUACUGCUGAAUGCUGUGUGAACUGAAUCAGCUUUAGCAAUUCUAAUCAUCAAGCAAAACAAAUUGUAGACAUAUAGCAGAGAUUGACUCAAAUCAAUGUUAAUUUCAGCUGCUUUACCAAACUAGGAUAAUACAUACUGAUUUUAAAUAUAUUUAUUUCCAUAAAGAAAACAGUUUUAUGCUCCUGUCACCAAUAACCUUAGUAAUGUUCUAGACCACUAUCCUUUUCUUAGUUGACCGACUGCUAUUAUUAGAACAUCACACUACAUACAACAUGUGGUAUUUUUCUAUUUUACUUUUCAAGGGGGUUAUGGAAAUUAAAACUUCAAAAUUAUCUAACACAAAAACAAAAAUGCUAUUAUUUCUGAAAACAAACAAAAAGACAAAAAAAGACAAAAAAAAAACCAACCAAAAAACAACAAACCAAAACCAACAGCAACAAAACAAGCAAAAAACCAAAACCAAAUUAUACAUUGAGAAGACAAUAUAAUUCAGACUAGACUGGCUUCCUGUCUACAUAGUACAGAUGAAAUUGGAAAAGAGGAAGCUUUACUUUAUUCUUUUCUCCAUUUCAGGAUAAAAUUGCUUGUCUCGUAGACUUUCUGAAUCUGAGGGCUUGUGUGCUAUAAGCUUCAUUCCUUCUGAGAAUCCACAAAAAUUGCCCUAAUGAAAUCUCACAUUCUUGACCAAUACAUGUGCCAGAAAUAUGAAAUAUCUAUAAUGAUAUAUAAAUUGGGUAUUUCAUACUAGGUCAUAUAUUUACCAUCCUUCUAGGAAAACCUGGUACAGUGGAAUGAUAAAAGAGAGAAAAUGUUAAGUGUCGGAUUCAAUCUGUGAUGUAGACAAGAACAUAGAAAUAUUCUCUCAUCUUUAUAAAAAUGAGUGGAGUUAUUUGUCUUCCAUUGUUAAAUUUAACAUUGGAAACACUGCUAAAACUAGUGCAUCUUGCCUUGAAAAAUGCAACCCUACCUUGCUUCAUGUAAUUUUCCAUCUACUUCAGUCACCAGUUCACUUGUGUUUUGGCAUAGGAUUAAGGCAGGAAUAUAAAAGUCAUAUUGUAGCUCUGAUCAUUCUUCAGCUAUUUUUUGUUUAUUAUCUCUCAUUUAGAAAUGACUAUGAAGUACUGCCUUGAGGUAGGUCAAAAAUAACACUGAGACUUGUCACCCACAAGUAAACUGUGGAGGCUGGAAAAGUCAGGUGAGAAAAAAAGGUUUUUGUGAUUUGCCUGGUGCAUGGUGUCACCAGUGGCUGAGCCCCAACAGAGGCAAAGCUGCCACAGCCAGUGGCAAGGCUGAGCAUGUACAGCUGUGUACGUGUUCAGUAUAGACUAUGUCUGACUAUCUGGAUUGGAGGCCUUGCAUCACAACCGUAAGUACCCACAGAAUUUUAAAAAUGAAUUAGCUGUGCUUUGUAAAGUGAAUUUUGGGAAAAUUAAUGUAGGCCCUUGAUAUUAGCAUAUAGAUAAUUUGAGCAACGACUACAGGACACAACACUUUUCUGUUGUACCACUGAAUCUGCAGAAGGACAGCACGCAAAAGUCAUGGCAGAGCUGACCUUUGUCAUGCUGUUAAGUUAGACGCUUCACCCUCAUCAUGCCUCAGAGUAGCUAAUUUUUGUCAUGAUAAUCCAAAUAGAUGGGAAGACAUUGACAUUUGGGAAGAUAAAUGUAGUGAGAUUGAUUUUAAUGUGAUAAUUGUCUGUAUUGUCAAUUUUUUUGUGAGUCUCAACACCUGAAGACUGUUUGAGUGUACAUUAUAAGGCUGUAGGGGCUUAUGCUGUAGAAACAGAGAGCAAACUAGCUCUAUUAAGAUUGCCAGUAGUAAAAUAAAAUCCCUCUAAAAUGUUAUUGAAAAUAGCUAAACUGUAUUAUAUAAAAUCUAAAUUAUUUCUUCAUUAGAAAAGGAAAAACAGUUGCCUAGAAAGGUCUAACAGGCAAGGUGAGAGCAUAGCAAUGUAGGCUUUCUUCAUUAAAAUAAAUCAACAACAACAACAAAAAAACCAAAAUAAAACACUCAGCAUAAAUUAUUUCUGAAAUCUAUUUUGUAUGAUGGCAGAUGACAGUGAUUAUGCUAAUUAUAGUUAUAUUUUCUGCAAAGGUUUAUGGAUAAUGUAUGAAAUUAAAAUAUUGCUUCAGAUUUUGUCUGUCAGAUGUUAAAACUACAGAGAGAAAAACUUUAUGUGAACUUUUUGAGAGCAGCAAUCUCAGGAAAUGGGCAAUCCAAGUUUAGCAUUGUUUUGGCAUUACAUUCUCUUUGCAGUAAAAUGCUGAACAGAUGUAUCUGAUAGCAGUUGUAACCUAUUCAGAAGGAAGACUGCCAGUGCUAACCUACCACUGGUAGAAAGCAAUAAAGUGUCUCUGGAACCUGUUCACUACAUAUGGUUUGCCUGAGGUUACUGUCUUGCCUUUCUUACAGUGUUACUCAAUAAAUCACAGAAAAUAUGGAUUCAUUUUGAACUUAAAUGAAACAACACAAAACCAAAAAAAAAAACAACAAACAAACAAACAAAAAAAAGAGCAGAUUGUGAGGAUGGCUGAAUAUUUUCAUUUCAGACAUGAAAUAAGCCAUUUAUAAGGCUAAAUUAGUUUUAAAAAAACCCUACAAUUAUGCUACUAACAUGUCUUUGUUGUUGGUUAACAUACUUAUUUUAUCUUCAGAAAGAAAUGCUAUUGCAGCCAAGACUUAUAGAACAUCUGCUGUGUUAAUUAUCAAUAUUUUACUAAGCCCUCAAUUUCCUUACUCAAACAUAAUUCUUUAAAACAUUAUGAGAAACAAUGGAUUUAGGAGGAUAUCACUUGGGGAUUUGAUGUACUGUUCGGCUUAGAUUCUUUCCUUCUGGACAGAUGGAGCUCAUAAGAAGUUGUGAGGGAGGAAACCUCUAAACUUUUGCCAAAAAAAUCUUUACUGCACAUGGAAGAUCUGCAAAAAUGGUGAAAGAACAAGUCAUCCAAUGAUGGCUUAGUGGGAGAAAAAGCAUAGAUUUUACAUAUAAAUCAGUUAUGUCCUUAAUGUAAAUCCAAAGGUAAUUCUGCUUCAGACUGGAGAAAGAAUGUUUCACAUACACUGCAGCUUCUAUUUGAAAUGAACCACUUAUUUAAUUCAUUCCCACACCAGUUUCUGCAGUGUUAGUACUUAACAAGCCACAGAGCAAGAGGUAACAAGUUGGAGUCUUCCUAUGGUAGGUAUCAAACACUAGGACUUCAGAAGAGAAAACAAAGAAAUCAGAUAAAUGGUCAAAAAAAGUCUGAAUAUUUGAUUUUAAAUUACAUUUGGGGGGGUAAGGGGGGAAAAAAAGUGUAUUUUCAGUUACAAAAGGUGUGAUUUGAAUCACCUGCAUCUGAGCUUGGCACCUUGACUUGCCUUUAAGUCAAGAGAAAUGAGCUCCACUUUCAGUGAGCCAGCUAACUAGGUUUUGAUGAUUACUGUGCACAAGGACAACUCCUAAUGCUUGUAUUUUUCCUUUGAUGCUACAGGCAGCCUAGAGAGGCAAACUCAGAUUUUGGUGUUUAUAAUGGCCAGGUGAAUUCUUCCCCCAUGGCCACUGGUAUGUUAUGCUACUGAGUUUAUGCUGUGAACACAAAUGAGCUGAGAGACAGUGCAGUUUACUUGUUUUCUUAAUUUAUUUCUUCAUUGACUAUGCACAUUAUCCUCUUCUGAGAAUGUAAGUUGUCCCAGAAUUCAGCAGCCAGGAGUCAAGCUCAAGCCAAGUGGCAUAUAUGUUCAUUUGGGUAAUGGCAUGAGAUAUAGAGAGAUUAAUCUUUGCGUCUACGUAUGCUUGGGGUUGGUUAACCUUGGACCAUCUUAUUAGACUUGCCUUAUUAUUAGGCAUGCCUUGUAUGGAUGAGUCCUUUGGACCAUGCAGAGAUUUGAUGUGAAUUAAUUUGCUUUAAGGUCAAGGAGAUUUUUUCCGCAGGAAAUACGUUAAUUUAUUACACUAUAUUGUAUAUAGUAGGCUAUAUUUGAAAAUAUGUAAAACAUUCUUUAGGUCUUCAGAAAAUGUUUAUUUAAAAAGGAUUGAUUAUAUAAAUAAAUUUAGAGAAAAUAUAUAUUUAUCAAGUGCUACAACUAAUAUUCCUUUACUUUUCAUCUUGGCAGUUCGAGGAACAAAAAUUUUGCUCUUUAGCAACAAUGGGCCUCAUUCCUAGUGGUCAUAAAUCAAGACAAAGUAGCCUGGGGGAUUUAUACCAGAGAAGGAUCUGCACCAUCAGGUAAAAUUAUUCCCAAAGAAAAAUUCUUGGUGUAAUUCCAAUGAGUUCACUGAAUAAAUGUGUCCCUUAAACCACACACGAAAUAAACCAGCUUCCUCAGGUGAUGUUACUGGUUUACAGAAAGAGAAUUCUAAUAUGUGCUUUCCUACUACUCACUCACUGAAUUAGAACUAACAAGACACCUUCAGCUGGUUUUCUUCUCCUAUGCAGCCAGUAUUAUUGCUUCAUUACUUCACACUAUUUUUAAAACAGUGAAAUAUUUUGCCAGUAAAUA